ACACGGCUUUCCUCUUUUUUUCCUGGGGCAUUGCACCCCCAGGUGGCGUUGUUGACAACCCCCCAUAACACGUGUUGCCACAAAGUGGCGUUGUCGGCAGGAUCUUUAACAUUUAGGGCAGAGGCUGGUGUGUUUUUAAUUUUUUUUUUUAGCCAUUUGAUGUUUUAACAUUGUUUUUAUGUUUGGGUUUUUUUAAAAGGCAAAGCAGCAGCACAAACUUUUUUUUCUGAGUCCUCAGGGUCUGCAAUACUACUUCGGUUCAUAAACAUGGAGGAAGAACUCAGAGAGCUGAAGAGUCUCGUUGCCCAGCUUAAGGCUGAUAAUGAGAGGCUGCGUCAGGAACGGGUUCCAACUCAACCAGAACCUGUGGCAGGCCCAAGUACCGAGGUGACCUCUGAUUCUCCUCCUAUGGCUUCAGGACCAGUGACCGAGAGACUCAUUUUUGUUCCCAGGGAUCGUAGAUGCCCCAUGUUUAGUGGGAUGUCCAACCUCUCUCUUGAAGAGUGGCUGGAAGAGGUACAAGCCUGUAGUAGGGCCAGACACUUGUCUGGGUCUGAACAGGCCUUUUUUAUGUUCGAUCACCUGGAAGGGGAAGCGCGUGCAGAGAUAAGGUUCCGGCCUAAUGCCGAAAAAUGUGACCCUAUAAAAAUAACCUCUGUGUUGAGAGAGCUGUAUGGGUGCUCGCAAUCUUAUGUUUCAUUGCAGGAGGCCUUUUUCUCUAGGAAACAGCAGGAUGGGGAGAGCGUGCUUGAGUUUUCCUUGGCGCUGAUGAGUUUGAUGGAAAGGGUGAAACAGCAGUCACCAUGCAGGAUGAUAAAUGCAGAAGCUCUGUUGAGGGACCAGUUCACCGAACACGUGUUGGACAGCUUGCUGCGCCGUGAGUUAAAAAAAUGGGUUCGGGGCCACCCAGAUUCCACCUUAUUAGAAGUCAGGAGGGAGGCCAUGAGAUGGGAACAGGAAGGUCUGCAGGGGGGCACUAGAAGCCAGAGCACCUCAGUUCCUUCGAUUUUUGGUACACAGUAUGGGAUGCAGGGUGGCUCUCAGCAGAUCACACACAGCCGCCCAACAUCUGAAAUUGGUGAGUUAAAAGAACUGAUUCGAGCCCAGCAAGAGCAGUUAAAUGAACUCACCAAGAAUGUUGGUCUUUUGCAGAGAUCUUGCCAGCAGAACCGUGAACCGCGCAACCGGCAAAUGGUUUGUAGGCGCUGUGGGCAGCCUGGCCAUUUUGCGAGAGAAUGUGACGGCGUUAGAACUUCCCAACCCUCAUCCCAGUCGGGUAAGGCUAAACCUCCGGCUUCGGAAAACUAGCGCCCACAAACCGCAGAGCCAAAGUUUAGGUGGGGCAGUGAUGGGCUC
rnacentral:lncRNA from 1 species